rnacentral:rRNA from 1 species
CAAUAAGCCCGGAAGGAA